UCAGUGAUUGAGUCUGCACUACUAAUGACAGCGGUGUCAACACUAGUAUCUUGUCUUAAANAGAUUGAUGUGGUCAUUGUAGAUAGACUCGCAGUAAUCCAUCACACAGGUCAUCUUCUUAAAUCCAGCUAUCUUGUACUGAGCCAGAAGAUAGCAGCCAUCACGCCAAGCGUUUACAUUAGUUGAUUCAUUCAGGGGUUUAGUGAUAGUCUGUUAAUCAAGCUGUGUAUCGCCUUGCUACUGAGGACCGAUCUAAUCUGGCGCCAUNGAACUCAAGACAAAGACAUAAGCCAAGGCUUAGAAAUCUAAUUUACUGUGAACAAUAAGCAAAAUACUCCGAAUUAGAUGAAGUCAACUUAUCUUGUUUUAUAAUAGAGUGUAAGCUAAAUAGGAAAAUAAAGAAGCAAAAGAGGUGAAGCGAAGUUGAAAAAAAACGGAGCGCGAUGGUGUCAAUGAUAAAAGGCGGAAGAAAGAAAUCCGACGCAAGUAACCCCGAGCAAGAAGGCUGAAAACAAAAUUGCCAAGAACAAAAUAAUGGGCCGUUUUGAUGUGGUCCAUGUGUGUAUAUAUAAGAAAUACGAUAACAAAAACAGAGAUUGCUACCGUGAUUGACAGUGAUUUCCGUGAUNCUGUGUGUAUUUCCAUGGCUACAUAUACAACGUGAAAUNUUUUAAAGUGUAUAAAGAGAGUGUGUACUACGCAUGUGCGUACGUGGUUGUGCAUAACCUGAUCACGACACNUUCUCUGCAGGACUCAAGUGUUUAUCUCCCGGCAAAGUUUAAAUGACCAUCAUUGGCUGUGAUGGAUCAUUUUUCUUGCAGAAUUUAUUGUACGAACUGCAAAAACUGCGAAACGAAACAAACAACUGUACCUAGUCUCUCUCGUUCUUCAUGCGUGAUUUGUUACCAAGGAAACAUCAUAUGUACGAAAUAUCUUUACUAAAACAUUAAUUAGUUACCUUCUACUUUUGUUGACAA
rnacentral:misc_RNA from 1 species